AUUGAACGCUGGCGGCCGGCUUAACACAUGCAAGUCGAACGAGUGGCGGACGGGUGAGUAAUGUCUGGGAACCUGCCUGAUGGAGGAGGAUAACUACUGGAAACGGUAGCUAAUACCGCAUACCAUCGGAGGUGCCCAGAUGGGAUUAGCUAGGAGGUGGGGUAACGGCUCACCUAGGCGACGAUCCCUAGCUGGUCUGAGAGGAUGAACGGCCACACUGGAACUGCGACACGUGCCAGACUCCUACGGGAGGCAGCAGUGGGAAAUAUUGCACAAUGGGGACAAGCCUGAUGCAGCCAUGCCGCGUGUGUGAAGAAGGCCUUCGGGUUGUAAAGUACUUUCAGCGAGGAGGCGUUACCCGCAGAAGAAGCACCGGCUAACUCCGUGCCAGCCGCCGCGGUAAUAC
rnacentral:rRNA from 1 species